GACACUACAUAAAGAAGAGGUUAUUCAUAAAACAGUGAAUGAUGAUCAGUUAGUGUCUUCAGAGUCAUUCCUCAAGCGACUCCUCUCUCGUGCUCUCACUUACACUCAGAGUACCUCUACUGAUAAUCUCAGGGACUGCUCCCUCGACCUUGAGAAACUAGCAGGGGUGGAGCCCUCGUUAAAGGGGUGUGGCUUAUUCUCAGCUCGUCUGUUACAUUGUCAGUUACUUCUUAAUAAAGUUCGUCAGACCAUGUCACACUCUGUACUAGUUGCUAGUGAGGCCAGUGAGAUAUCCAGUAUAGUAAUGGAGUUGACUAUGUUGAGUUACAGACUUCAGUAUGGAUAUGUAAACCACUCUCCCUCGUUAAUAUUCCUGUUGUCAUGGUUACGGACUCACGCCCACUGCAUACUGUUACACCUUGCAAUGAGAUUGGACUGGCCCAUAGA